rnacentral:rRNA from 1 species
GGCUCGAGGACGAACGCUGGCGGCGUGCCUAAUACAUGCAAGUCGAACGGUCUUUCUAUGGAAGCUUGCUUCCACUGAGAAGAUAGUGGCGAACGGGUGAGUAACACGUGGGUAACCUGCCCAUAAGAGGGGGAUAACAUCCGGAAACGGGUGCUAAUACCGCAUAGUUUCUUGAUCGCAUGAUUGAGAAAGGAAAGACGGCCUUUGUGCUGUCGCUUAUGGAUGGACCCGCGGCGUAUUAGUUAGUUGGUGAGGUAACGGCUCACCAAGACGAUGAUACGUAGCCGACCUGAGAGGGUGAUCGGCCACAUUGGGACUGAGACACGGCCCAAACUCCUACGGGAGGCAGCAGUAGGGAAUCUUCCGCAAUGGACGAAAGUCUGACGGAGCAACGCCGCGUGAGUGAAAGAAGGUUUUCGGAUCGUAAAACUCUGUUGUCAGAGAAGAACAAGUUGGAGAGUAACUGCUCCAGCCUUGACGGUAUCUGACCAGAAAGCCACGGCUAACUACGUGCCAGCCGCCGC